GACGAACGCUGGCGGCGUGCUUAAUACAUGCAAGUCGAACGGAAAGGCCUGCUUCUUCUUCUUCAUUGCUGGUACUCGAGCGGCUAACUGGCGCGUAACUCACCUGUGUUCUGCCCCCAACUUGCGUAUAAGAACGGGAACUUGUGCCUAAUUCCCGAUAGUACCGCAGGGUGGUGACUUUGGUGGAGAACUUGCUUCACGUGGCUGUGGAUGGGCUCUCGGUUUAUCAGUUUGUUGGUGGGGUAAUGGCCUACCACGGCGGCGACGGGUAGCCGGCCUGAGAGGGUGGACGGCCACAUUGGGACUGGGAUACGGCCCAGACUCCUACGGGAGGCAGGAGUGGGGAAUAAUGCACGAUAGGCGGAAGCCUGAAGCAGCGACGCCGCGUGGGGGAUGACGGCCUUCGGGUUGUAAACUCCUUUCGACCGCGAGGAAGCCACCUGGUUGGAAGGGUGGUGACGGUAGUGGUAGAAGAAGCACCGGCUAACUACGUG
rnacentral:rRNA from 1 species